rnacentral:rRNA from 1 species
AGGGCGCACGGUGGAUGCCUUGGCACUAGAAGCCGAUGAAGGACGUUACUAACGACGAUAUGCUUUGGGGAGCUGUAAGUAAGCUUUGAUCCAGAGAUUUCCGAAUGGGGAAACCCAGCAUGAGUUAUGUCAUGUUAUCGAUAUGUGAAUACAUAGCAUAUCAGAAGGCACACCCGGAGAACUGAAACAUCUUAGUACCCGGAGGAAGAGAAAGAAAAUUCGAUUCCCUUAGUAGCGGCGAGCGAAACGGGAAGAGCCCAAACCAACAAGCUUGCUUGUUGGGGUUGUAGGACACUCUGUACGGAGUUACAAAGGACGACAUUAGACGAAUCAUCUGGAAAGAUGAAUCAAAGAAGGUAAUAAUCCUGUAGUCGAAAAUGUUGUCUCUCUUGAGUGGAUCCUGAGUACGACGGAGCACGUGAAAUUCCGUCGGAAUCUGGGAGGACCAUCUCCUAAGGCUAAAUACUCUCUAGUGACCGAUAGUGAACCAGUACCGUGAGGGAAAGGUGAAAAGCACCCCGGAAGGGGAGUGAAAUAGAACCUGAAACCGUGUGCUUACAAGUAGUCAGAGCCCGUUAAUGGGUGAUGGCGUGCCUUUUGUAGAAUGAACCGGCGAGUUACGAUUUGAUGCAAGGUUAAGCAGUAAAUGUGGAGCCGUAGCGAAAGCGAGUCUGAAUAGGGCGUUUAGUAUUUGGUCGUAGACCCGAAACCAGGUGAUCUACCCUUGGUCAGGUUGAAGUUCAGGUAACACUGAAUGGAGGACCGAACCGACUUACGUUGAAAAGUGAGCGGAUGAACUGAGGGUAGCGGAGAAAUUCCAAUCGAACCUGGAGAUAGCUGGUUCUCUCCGAAAUAGCUUUAGGGCUAGCCUCAAGUGAUGAUUAUUGGAGGUAGAGCACUGUUUGGACGAGGGGCCCCUCUCGGGUUACCGAAUUCAGACAAACUCCGAAUGCCAAUUAAUUUAACUUGGGAGUCAGAACAUGGGUGAUAAGGUCCGUGUUCGAAAGGGAAACAGCCCAGACCACCAGCUAAGGUCCCAAAAUAUAUGUUAAGUGGAAAAGGAUGUGGCGUUGCCCAGACAACUAGGAUGUUGGCUUAGAAGCAGCCAUCAUUUAAAGAGUGCGUAAUAGCUCACUAGUCGAGUGACACUGCGCCGAAAAUGUACCGGGGCUAAACAUAUUACCGAAGCUGUGGAUUGUCCUUUGGACAAUGGUAGGAGAGCGUUCUAAGGGCGUUGAAGCAUGAUCGUAAGGACAUGUGGAGCGCUUAGAAGUGAGAAUGCCGGUGUGAGUAGCGAAAGACGGGUGAGAAUCCCGUCCACCGAUUGACUAAGGUUUCCAGAGGAAGGCUCGUCCGCUCUGGGUUAGUCGGGUCCUAAGCUGAGGCCGACAGGCGUAGGCGAUGGAUAACAGGUUGAUAUUCCUGUACCACCUAUAAUCGUUUUAAUCGAUGGGGGGACGCAGUAGGAUAGGCGAAGCGUGCGAUUGGAUUGCACGUCUAAGCAGUAAGGCUGAGUAUUAGGCAAAUCCGGUACUCGUUAAGGCUGAGCUGUGAUGGGGAGAAGACAUUGAGUCUUCGAGUCGUUGAUUUCACACUGCCGAGAAAAGCCUCUAGAUAGAAAAUAGGUGCCCGUACCGCAAACCGACACAGGUAGUCAAGAUGAGAAUUCUAAGGUGAGCGAGCGAACUCUCGUUAAGGAACUCGGCAAAAUGACCCCGUAACUUCGGGAGAAGGGGUGCUCUUUAGGGUUAACGCCCAGAAGAGCCGCAGUGAAUAGGCCCAAGCGACUGUUUAUCAAAAACACAGGUCUCUGCUAAACCGUAAGGUGAUGUAUAGGGGCUGACGCCUGCCCGGUGCUGGAAGGUUAAGAGGAGUGGUUAGCUUCUGCGAAGCUACGAAUCGAAGCCCCAGUAAACGGCGGCCGUAACUAUAACGGUCCUAAGGUAGCGAAAUUCCUUGUCGGGUAAGUUCCGACCCGCACGAAAGGCGUAACGAUUUGGGCACUGUCUCAACGAGAGACUCGGUGAAAUCAUAGUACCUGUGAAGAUGCAGGUUACCCGCGACAGGACGGAAAGACCCCGUGGAGCUUUACUGUAGCCUGAUAUUGAAAUUCGGCACAGCUUGUACAGGAUAGGUAGGAGCCUUUGAAACGUGAGCGCUAGCUUACGUGGAGGCGCUGGUGGGAUACUACCCUAGCUGUGUUGGCUUUCUAACCCGCACCACUUAUCGUGGUGGGAGACAGUGUCAGGCGGGCAGUUUGACUGGGGCGGUCGCCUCCUAAAAGG